rnacentral:rRNA from 1 species
UGCUCAGUAACACGUGGAUAACCCUGCCCUAGGGAAGGGGAUAACCCCGGGAAACUGGGGAUAAUACCCUAUAGGUUACAGAUGCUGGAAUGCCCUGUAACCCAAAGUUCCGGCGCCCUAGGAUGGAUCUGCGGCCGAUUAGGUAGUUGUUGGGGUAAUGGCCCAACAAGCCAGUAAUCGGUACAGGUUGUGGGAGCAAGAGCCCGGAGUUGGAUUCUGAGACACGAAUCCAGGCCCUACGGGGCGCAGCAGGCGCGAAAACUUUACAAUGCGGGCAACCGUGAUAAGGGAACCUCGAGUGCCUGUAAACGCAGGCUGUUCAGGUGUCUAAAACACACCUGGAGAAAGGGCCGGGCGACCGGUGCCAGCCGCCGCGGUAAUACCGGCGGCUCGAGUGGUGGCCACUUUUAUUGGGCUUAAAGCGUUCGUAGCUGGGUUGUUAAGUCUCUUGGGAAAUCUGGCGGCCUAACCGUCAGGCGUCUAAGGGAUACUGGCAAUCUUGGAACCGGGAGAGGUGAGGGGUACUUCGGGGGUAGGAGUGAAAUCCUGUAAUCCUCGAGGGACCACCUGUGGCGAAGGCGCCUCACCAGAACGGCUUCGACAGUGAGGGACGAAAGCUGGGGGAGCAAACCGGAUUAGAUACCCGGGUAGUCCCAGCCGUAAACGAUGCGCGUUAGGUGUAUCGGUGACCACGAGUUACCGAGGUGCCGAAGGGAAACCGUGAAACGUGCCGCCUGGGAAGUACGGUCGCAAGGCUGAAACUUAAAGGAAUGGCGGGGGAGCA